CCCUACUGCUAUCGGGGUGGGACUAAGACAUGCGAGUUGUGCGUCUCUAAGCUAUGGUAGAGACGCAGCGUACGGCUCAGUAACACGUGGCUAACCUACCCUUAGGACGGGGACAACCCCGGGAAACUGGGGCUAAUACCCGAUAGGUGAGGAGGCCUGGAAUGGUUCCUAGUCGAAAAGGCGUUGAAACCAUGCUUUUCGACGUCGCCUAAGGAUGGGGCCGCGCCCGAUCAGGUUGUUGGUGGGGUAACGGCUCACCAAACCUACGACGGGUACGGGCGAUGGGAGUCGGAGCCCGGAGAUGGGGACUGAGACAAGGCCCCAGGCCCUACGGGGCGCAGCAGGCGCGAAAACUCCGCAAUGCGCGCAAGCGUGACGGGGGAAUCCCAAGUGCCGUUGGUCUUAUGAUCGACGGUUUUUAGGAAGUCUAAGAAGCUUCCAGAAUAAGGGCUGGGCAAGACUGGUGCCAGCCGCCGCGGUAACACCAGCAGCCCAAGUGGUGACCACGAUUAUUGGGCCUAAAGCGCUCGUAGCCGGAUCAGCAAGUCCCUUGUGAAAUCGGGCCGCCCAACGGUUCGGCGUGCAAGGGAUACUGUUGGUCUUGAGGCCGGGAGAGGUCGGAGGUACUCCUGGGGUAGCGGUGAAAUGCUCUAAUCCUAGGGGGACCACCAGUGGCGAAGGCGUCCGACCAGAACGGACCUGACGGUGAGGGGCGAAGGCUAGGGGAGCGAACGGGAUUAGAUACCCCGGUAGUCCUAGCUGUAAAGCAUGCGGGCCAGGUGUCUAGCGCUCCUUGAGGGCGCUAGGUGCCGGAGGGAAGCCGUUAAGCCCGCCGCCUGGGAAGUACGGCCGCAAGGCUGAAACUUAAAGAAAUUGGCGGGGGAGCACCACAAGAGGUGGGACCUGCGGUUC
rnacentral:rRNA from 1 species